rnacentral:tRNA from 1 species
GUGGCUGUGGCUCAGUGGUAGAGCACUCGCCUAGUAUGUGUGAGGCCCUGGGUUUGAUCCUCAGCACCACA